AUGAAUUUCAAAGUCGGUCUCCUGUGCUGGCGCAACCACGCAUGUGCACGUUGAUCGGCGAUUCAUCCACACACCUUGUGCACCCUAAGACCACAGAGAGGUUCGUCGGGAUUUCGGUCUUGACUUGAGCAACUCUGUUGGUACUUUUUUCACAAACUCUGUAUGUGAUUGGGAUGUCCUAGUGCUCUUAAGCACGAUAAUUGAAAAAA
rnacentral:misc_RNA from 1 species